AUUGAACGCUGGCGGCAGGCCUAACACAUGCAAGUCGAGCGGAUGAAGGGAGCUUGCUCCUGGAUUCAGCGGCGGACGGGUGAGUAAUGCCUAGGAAUCUGCCUGGUAGUGGGGGAUAACGUCCGGAAACGGGCGCUAAUACCGCAUACGUCCUGAGGGAGAAAGUGGGGGAUCUUCGGACCUCACGCUAUCAGAUGAGCCUAGGUCGGAUUAGCUAGUUGGUGGGGUAAAGGCCUACCAAGGCGACGAUCCGUAACUGGUCUGAGAGGAUGAUCAGUCACACUGGAACUGAGACACGGUCCAGACUCCUACGGGAGGCAGCAGUGGCGAAUAUUGGACAAUGGGCGAAAGCCUGAUCCAGCCAUGCCGCGUAUGUGAAGAAGGUCUUCGGAUUGUAAAGCACUUUAAGUUGGGAGGAAGGGCAGUAAGUUAAUACCUUGCUGUUUUGACGUUACCAACAGAAUAAGCACCGGCUAACUUCGUG
rnacentral:rRNA from 1 species